UCAAGGAAAGCACCGUGUUCGUCCCGAAAAUGUGUACUGGGUAUACCGUGUACUGUACUAGGACUGUGUGGCAUGGCAGGCGGUAAAAUCUUGUCUAUCCUCACUUUGUGUUUGGCAGUCGUCGUGUAAACAUCUUCGAUUGCUCUGUUGGUGAUAACAACGCAAGCAGUCAUUCACUGUAUUCAAACGGUGGUGUUUUGCUAGACCUGGUUGCGCUAUGGCUUUCUCUGCACUGAUUGGAUUGGCCCUGCUGGCUAUUCUUCAGCCUGCUUACUCAAAGUUUGAACUAAAUCGAAUUCCUUCACGUACAUGCUUUGGACAAACCGUCCUUAGUAUAAACGUGGCUUAUAUGAUCAGUUGCAUCAGUAAGUG